rnacentral:rRNA from 1 species
AUUGAACGCUGGCGGCAUGCCUUACACAUGCAAGUCGAACGGCAGCACGGGAGCAAUCCUGGUGGCGAGUGGCGAACGGGUGAGUAAUAUAUCGGAACGUGCCCAGUCGUGGGGAUAACGUAGCGAAAGCUACGCUAAUACCGCAUACGAUCUAUGGAUGAAAGCGGGGGAUCGCAAGACCUCGCGCGAUUGGAGCGGCCGAUAUCAGAUUAGGUAGUUGGUGAGGUAAAGGCUCACCAAGCCGACGAUCUGUAGCUGGUCUGAGAGGACGACCAGCCACACUGGGACUGAGACACGGCCCAGACUCCUACGGGAGGCAGCAGUGGGGAAUUUUGGACAAUGGGCGCAAGCCUGAUCCAGCAAUGCCGCGUGCAGGAUGAAGGG